rnacentral:rRNA from 1 species
GGGUUAAAAGUUUUUCGGGGCUUCGGCUCGACUCUCCCACCCUUUGUGAACGUACCUCUGUUGCUUUGGCGGCUUCGGCCGCCAAAGGACCUUCAAACUCCAGUCAGUAAACGCAGACGUCUGAUAAACAAGUUAAUAAACUAAAACUUUCAACAACGGAUCUCUUGGUUCUGGCAUCGAUGAAGAACGCAGCGAAAUGCGAUAAGUAAUGUGAAUUGCAGAAUUCAGUGAAUCAUCGAAUCUUUGAACGCACAUUGCGCCCCUUGGUAUUCCGGGGGGCAUGCCUGUUCGAGCGUCAUUACAACCCUCAAGCUCUGCUUGGAAUUGGGCACCGUCCUCACUGCGGACGCGCCUCAAAGACCUCGGCGGUGGCUGUUCAGCCCUCAAGCGUAGUAGAAUACACCUCGCUUUGGAGCGGUUGGCGUCGCCCGCCGGACGAACCUUCUGAACUUUUCUCAAGGUUGACCUCGGAUCAGGUAGGGAUACCCGCUGAACUUAAGCAUAUCAAAAAGCCGGAAGGAAACCUCGAAACUAGGCUCGCCCCCUCCCUG